GACGUAGGGCGCGAGCGUUGUCCGGAUUGAUUGGGCGUAAAGAGCUCGUAGGCGGCUCGUUGCGUCGGCUGUGAAAACCCGCAGCUCAACUGUGGGCCUGCAGCCGAUACGGGCGGGCUGGAGUUCGGUAGGGGAGACUGGAAUUCCUGGUGUAGCGGUGAAAUGCGCAGAUAUCAGGAGGAACACCGGUGGCGAAGGCGGGUCUCUGGGCCGAUACUGACACUGAGACACGAAGGCCAGGGGAGCAAACGGG
rnacentral:rRNA from 1 species